CUAAGCUGGGUCUGCAACACUAUUCCUCUCUAUGGGCUUGAGCUUCUGCCCACCACAACAGUGUCAAAUGCAGAAUCAGCGUAAGGAAUGCCUUUCUGAGCAACCCGAGACAUGCAAACCAUCAGCUGGCGAUUUCCCUGGGCGGUACACAAUUCUCGUCUGCAGAGCUCCAAACAAGUAUUUUGAAAGUAUCAGGACAGAGAAAGAACAAGAAAUGAAAGCAAAUUAAGAAUGACUGAUUUCAAACAGCAGCACAAAAAUAAAGCACUAAACACGACA